UACGAAGGGUGCAAGCGUUAAUCGGAAUUACUGGGCGUAAAGGGUGCGUAGGCGGUUCGUUAAGUCUGUCGUGAAAUCCCCGGGCUCAACCUGGGAAUGGCGAUGGAUACUGGUGAGCUAGAGUGUGUCAGAGGAUGGUGGAAUUCCCGGUGUAGCGGUGAAAUGCGUAGAGAUCGGGAGGAACAUCAGUGGCGAAGGCGGCCAUCUGGGACAACACUGACGCUGAAGCACGAAAGCGUGGGGAGCAAACAGG
rnacentral:rRNA from 1 species